GACGAACGCUGGCGGCGUGCCUAAUACAUGCAAGUCGAACGGUCUUUUCUAUGGAAGCUUGCUUCCACUGAGAAGAUAGUGGCGAACGGGUGAGUAACACGUGGGUAACCUGCCCAUAAGAGGGGGAUAACAUCCGGAAACGGGUGCUAAUACCGCAUAGUUUUCUUGAUCGCAUGAUCGGGAAAGGAAAGACGGCCUUUGUGCUGUCGCUUAUGGAUGGACCCGCGGCGUAUUAGUUAGUUGGUGAGGUAACGGCUCACCAAGACGAUGAUACGUAGCCGACCUGAGAGGGUGAUCGGCCACAUUGGGACUGAGACACGGCCCAAACUCCUACGGGAGGCAGCAGUAGGGAAUCUUCCGCAAUGGACGAAAGUCUGACGGAGCAACGCCGCGUGAGUGAAGAAGGUUUUCGGAUCGUAAAACUCUGUUGUCAGAGAAGAACAAGUUGGAGAGUAACUGCUCCAGCCUUGACGGUAUCUGACCAGAAAGCCACGGCUAACUACGUGCCAGCAGCCGCAGUAAGAC
rnacentral:rRNA from 1 species